UACAGAGGUCCCAAGCGUUGUUCGGAUUCACUGGGCGUAAAGGGUGCGUAGGUGGUGAGGUAAGUCGGAUGUGAAAUCUCCGAGCUCAACUCGGAAACUGCAUUGGAAACUACCUUGCUCGAGGGUUGGAGGGGGGACUGGAAUGCUUGGUGUAGCAGUGAAAUGCGUAGAUAUCAAGCGGAACACCAGUGGCGAAGGCGAGUCCCUGGACAACUCCUGACACUGAUGCACGAAAGCUAGGGGAGCAAACAGG
rnacentral:rRNA from 1 species